rnacentral:rRNA from 1 species
AUUGAACGCUGGCGGCAGGCCUAACACAUGCAAGUCGAGCGGGAACUUCGGCUCUAGCGGCGGACGGGUGAGUCAUGCGUAGGAAGCUACCCGACAGAGGGGGAUACCAGUUGGAAACGACUGUUAAUACCGCAUAAUGUCUACGGACCAGAGGGUGGGACCUUCGGGCACAUGCUGUCGGAUGCGCCUCCGUGGGAGUAGCUAGUUGGUGAGGUAAUGGCUCACCAAGGCGACGACCCCUAGCUGGUUUGAGAGGAUGAUCAGCCACACUGGAACUGAGACACGGUCCAGACUCCUACGGGAGGCAGCAGUGGGGAAUAUUGGACAAUGGGCGAAAGCCUGAUCCAGCCAUGCCGCGUGUGUGAAGGAGGCCUUCGGGUUGUAAAGCACUUUCAGUAGGGAGGAAGAGUUGAGUGUUAAUAGUACUCAGCUUUGACGUUACCUACAGAAGAAGCACCGGCUAACUCUGUGCCAGCCGCCGCGGUAAAAC